rnacentral:rRNA from 1 species
UACGAAGGGGGCUAGCGUUGUUCGGAAUUACUGGGCGUAAAGCGCGCGCAGGCGGUUUCUCAAGUCAGUGGUGAAAGCCCGGAGCUCAACUCCGGAACUGCCAUUGAAACUGUGAGUCUUGAGGACGAGAGAGGUGAGUGGAAUUCCCAGUGUAGAGGUGAAAUUCGUAGAUAUUGGGAAGAACACCGGUGGCGAAGGCGGCUCACUGGCUCGUUUCUGACGCUCAGGCGCGACAGCGUGGGGAUCAAACAGG